GACCGCUCUUUUGGCCUAGUGAUUAGAGCGUCCGCCUCGGAUGCGGGAGGUCACGAGUUCGGAUCCCGACUGAGUCA